rnacentral:rRNA from 1 species
UACGUAGGGGGCAAGCGUUGUCCGGAUUUAUUGGGCGUAAAGAGCGUGUAGGCGGCCAUACAGGUCAGCUGUGAAAACUCGAGGCUCAACCUCGAGACGUCGGUUGAAACCGUUUGGCUAGAGUCCGGAAGAGGAGAGUGGAAUUCCCGGUGUAGCGGUGAAAUGCGCAGAUAUCGGGAAGAACACCCGUGGCGAAGGCGGCUCUCUGGGACGGUACUGACGCUGAGACGCGGAAGCGUGGGGAGCGAACAGG